CGUUACUCAACACCUGUCAUCUCCCCAUCUCACUUGGAGCAAAAUUCGAACAGCCAUCCUUCUUCAAACUUUCCAGGCUUGCUCCCACCUAAGGUGGAAGAAGUUAACUACAUGAUGACCAGACUGUAGCCAUGACAGAAGCUGCCACAAUUCUGAGAAUUGGCCUCAUGGAAAUGGGAACAAACUGACCCUGGAACUGAAGAUUAACUGUACUUAAAACAAUCAAGAUGAUGCUGGUCAGACCACCGAUGACCAAUUUCACAGAUGACCAUCAGAGCUGACUGUGCUGUCUCUGCAUGUAGCCCCCUCUCUCCGUCUAUAAAAGCUCUUGCCCACUGGUUGUCAGUGGAGGGGAGUCAGCCUUUGGACAGGAGUCUGCCCUUCCCCUUCCCCGGCCCCCGCAAUUGCCAGCCUCAGAAAUAAAGCAAACUUCCUUUCCACCA